ensembl:lncRNA
GGAGACAGCUCUCCAUCCUCUUUCUAUGCCUGUCACUGCAUCUGUGCUCUUGUCUGACUCCUUCUCCCAUGUCCAGAGAUGAGAGGGGGUGGAAGAAUGACUGCAGAGAGAUGAGGGAGGUGGGAAGUCAACUGGAGGCCAAGAGAAUAGGAGAAGAAAAGGAGGAGGAGGCAAGUGAGAGGAGAGGAGCCUCUGUCAGCACAGUGAGUGUGUGUUGGUAAAUCAUCUGUUGAGAAACACACAAAAGAGAAAACUAGACAGACAAACACAGACGAUAAAGCCAACGUAGACUAAACAAGAGACACAAGUUGGUGAACAACUAACAGCUGGCCACCACUUCCACCCAGUGACUGUUUUUGUGGCUCUUUCCAGCCUGUCACACAGCCAGACUCCUCGGCCAUGGAGAAGUGCCCAGAAGUGAUGUGUGCUGUUCACAUCUGAUUACCACC